AAGCACAUUUCAUUGUCCCACGCUUCUGUAAGCUGUGAGAUAUUUCUGAUGUGCUAGAUUAAUACCCGGAGGUAAAUUAGCAGCUUGGCUUGUUGGUGUCAGUGCUGCCAGUCCCCUUCAUACAAAC